rnacentral:rRNA from 1 species
GUACACGCUGUGACUAGCAUAUCAAUAAGCGGAGGAAAAGAAACUAACAAGGAUUCCCUCAGUAACGGCGAGUGAAGCGGGAAGAGCUCAAAUUUGAAAUCUUGAAAGGUCUACCUUGCACGAAUUGUAGUUUAAAGAAGUGUUUUCUGUGACGAUCUGUAUAUAAGUUCUUUGGAAUAGGACAUCAUCAGAGGGUGAGAAUCCCGUCUAUGAUUGCAUAUUUGUAGCUUUGUGAUACACUUUCAAAGAGUCGGAUUGUUUGGGAAUGCAGUCCAAAACUGGGUGGUAAAUUUCAUUCUAAGCUAAAUAUUGGCGAGAGACCGAUAGCGAACAAGUACCGUGAGGGAAGGAUGAAAAGAACUUUGAAAAGAGAGUUAAAUAGUACGUGAAAUUGUCAAAAGGGAAGCGUUUAACACCAGUGUUGUUUUCUGAAAAUCAACCUCUGUUAGCUUUAUGCAUGUUUGUUUAGACCUAAUCAGCUAUCUUUCAUGUUCUAUUGUUUGCAGUGGUGCACUUUUCAGUUUACAGGUCAACAUCAGUUUUUUUUACCGUAAAAAAAGUUAAAGAAAGGUAGCUCAUGACUCCGGUCGUGAGUGUUAUAGUCUUUUUCCUAUGCGGUAGGAGAGACUGAGGUCUGCAGUGUAGGCUAUUUGGCUAGAUACUCAGGUGCUAUGUGAUACCAUUUCAUAAACAACUUGUUGAUUAUAAUUUUAGUCUAUGUAGCAUACUCGCUAUGUACUAUCAUACCUACGCUUAGGAUGUUGAGUAGCGACAUACGCAC